AUGUUCAACAGGAUUCUAACCAACCACUUCUUAAGUUACUUGGUUAGGUUCAUUCAUUCACUCAUUCAUUCAUUGAUACGUGCAUUCACUUGGCAGAUAUUUAGGCCCUAGACUGGGUGUUGGACAAGCAGCAAAGAACAAGAUUUUUCCAGCCUUCAUGGGUCUUACAUUAGUCCUUAUGUGCAUAACAAAUUCAGUCUUUCUUCAGUUGUAAAAGAACAACCAGUGUUAUGAGGGUAUAUGGGAUGGGGGGGGGUUGAGAUCUUUUCUGGACAGAUGAGGGAGGCCUUUCUGAAAACGCUCACACCCGAAGAUGGAGUAGAAGGUGGCUGAGUGGGCAGGGAACAGAGUCCCUGGCAGAGGGAAUGGCAUGAGCGAGGCUCUGAGUCAGGAUGUUGCAUGUGUGGUCCUUGAGGAACUGAAAGGCAGGAGCGUGAUGGGGAAAGGAACCGGAGAUCAGGCAGUACCUCGGUCGUGUGGGCUCUUGGGGUCCUUGCUUAGAGUUUGGAUUUUAUCCUAGACCCCUGGAGAAACACUGGAAGGUUUAAAGUAGGGAAGAAGUUUGCCCUGACUUAAUUAUAGAACCCAUGAAAGAGGGUCGCAAAUCCCACCCUGAUGAGCCCUGAGGAUGUAAUUUUUGGUUCUUCCACACUGUGGCGUCCUGGUGCCGUGCCUCAGCAUGAGGCUUGGUCUUGGGCAGUCCUGGAAAACUCUCUGGCUUUCUCUGGAAAAAACCACUCUCCAGCAUUCCCUGGGCUCCUUGCAUUUUUUCAUUCCUGAGCUUCUGUGCUGGUGAGGGGAGAUGAAUCAGAUCCAGUCCUGGGAGAUCCAGACUUUUGGUGGCUGAUGCCCUGAGAGCCAGGCAAUAAGUGCCAGGGGUGCUGGGAGCCACAGAGGGCUUCCUCCUGAGUCCGGCACUGGGCUGGACUAGAGGAUGCAGUGGUCACUCCAGGCGAAGGAGAUUCGUGUGCAAAGGCUUAGCCCCCUGGUGGAACUGCUGUGCUUGGGGACUCGUGAGCAGAGCAGCUAAAGCAGGAUGGGGGGGUGGAGGUGGAGAGGGGCAGGAGUUGAUGGGGAGAGCUGGGAUGGGAGAUGCCUGGAGUGCAGGGUCCUGAUCCUCUGGGUACCAGGGAGGCGUGGCUUGAGCAAUGGGAUGUGAGAACAAUGAGUUGGUGGGAGGCGGAGGAUCAGAAAGGCAGCGCUGUGAACUGGUUGGAGAGAAUGAGUGGUCACUGGGUGAAACCUUGUCACUCCCACCUACCCACACAUACACAGUAAAAGGCUCUGUGCCUCUUUCUGUCCCGUGCCCUGAUGGGUCAUUUCCCCAUUGGUUGGCCCUCCUGAGCUGUUUCACUGGGAUUUGAUCACACCCUGGGCUCCAGGCAAACAGGUGUGAGCAUCACUGUGACUCAGACUUUCUAGGUGCUUCUGGACACAUCCUUUAACCCUCUCAGCCUCAGUUUCUUCAUCUGUGAAAUGGAAGUGAUAAUAGGGUUGUUGAGGAUUGAUGACGGAGAGUAAAGUCUUAAGCUUAUGCCUGGUACCUAGUGAUGGCUCGAUUAUCUUUAUUUUUGGAUGGUAAUGGCCCAGGCCAAUGUCAUAAAUGGCCCUUUGGGGACUCCUUCUCUGUGGCCAUAAGUCUGUAAUCUGAACUGGAAACAAGUGUCCCCAGCAGCCCUGAAGGAAGCCUCUGGUGGGAUGCUGAGUGAUUUGGCCUUUUCCUUUCUCCCACUGGAGUGUGGCCCAGGGCUGGGCUCAGAGGCUACACCAGGUCUUAGCUGUCUGUUAGUGCCCUAGCACUCAGCACAAGGCUGGCCUAUGAUGGUUCCGUAAAUACUAAGCAAACAAACAAAACUUAAAGGAGUUCCUGCCGUGGUGCUGUGGGUUAAGAAUUGGACUUCAGAGUGGCCUGGGUCACUGUGGAGGUGUGGGUUGACCCUGAGCCCAGUGGAGUGGGUUAAAGGAUCCAGCUUGCUGCAGCUAAUUCAGUCCCUGGCCUGGGAACUUCCAUAUGCCACACACUUGGCCAUAAAAUUUUAAAAAUCAGUCAAUCAAUCUAUCAAUCAUCCUGCUAAUACCUUUAUCUUAUGGCUGAAGAAUCUGGAGCCCAGAGAGGGACGGUGACUCAUCUCAGGUCACCCAGCCCUUCAGUGGCAGGGCUUGGACCUGGCUCCUGUAUUUUUUGCAAUUCUUAUUUUUAAAAUACUGAUAAUUUAAAAGAGUUCCCAAGUUGGCCAGGGGAGGGGUACCAAUGGAAUGGACAUUCCAAGGCAAUUCUGGGGAACCUCCUGGCUAGAAGGACCCCAAGGAUAUCAUGUCCAACCUCCCAGUUUACAUUUGGGGAAACCGAGGCCCAGAGAGAGGUAGAGACUGGCUCAGAGUUGCCAGAGAGCAGGAAAGCAGUCACAAGGCCCAUUUCCAAUAACCUGCAGUAGGUGGGUGGGCUCUUCCCCGCAGCCCACUGUCUCGUGUCUAAGAAAGUGAAUUAGAGCAUGAUCAGUGGUUUCCUGAGGAAGUUCUGGGUUUUAAUUGUGUUGAGGAGAAGGACCGUAUCCGGAACUGUGCGUGCCCAUGUGAUGCCCGUGGAGCCGGGCCUGGCACAGCUAUUUCAGACCAAGCCACAAGGUCCUAUUUAUAGGCCGAUGUGAUUAGGUUGAUGUGGGUAGAAGUGACCCGCCUCUGCCCAGCCCAGCUAUGGCGGAGGAAGAGGCUCUCGGGGGUGACUCUGACCCAUGGCCCAGCACCAUGGUGGUGGAACACCCUGAGUUCCUCAAGGCAGGGAAGGAGCCCGGACUGCAGAUCUGGCGCGUGGAGAAGUUCGACCUGGUUCCUGUGCCCCCCAACCUUUACGGAGACUUCUUCACAGGCGAUGCCUAUGUCAUCCUGAAGACGGUGCAGCUGAGGAACGGGAACCUGCAGUAUGACCUCCACUACUGGCUGGGCAAUGAAUGCAGCCAGGAUGAGAGCGGGGCGGCUGCCAUCUUCACCGUGCAGCUGGAUGACUACCUGAACGGUCGGGCCGUGCAGCACCGCGAGGUCCAGGGCUUCGAGUCAGCCACCUUCCUUGGCUACUUCAAAUCUGGUCUCAAGUACAAGAAAGGAGGCGUGGCAUCAGGAUUCAAGCACGUGGUACCCAACGAAGUGGCGGUGCAGAGACUCUUCCAGGUCAAAGGGCGGCGUGUGGUCCGCGCCACCGAGGUGCCUGUGUCCUGGGAGAGCUUCAACCGUGGCGACUGCUUCAUCCUGGACCUGGGCAACGACAUCUACCAGUGGUGUGGCUCCAACAGCAAUCGGUAUGAGAGGCUGAAGGCCACCCAGGUGUCUAAGGGCAUCCGGGACAAUGAGCGGAGUGGCCGGGCCCAUGUGCACGUGUCUGAGGAGGAUGCCGAGCCUGCCGGGAUGCUCCAGGUGCUGGGCCCCAAGCCAACUCUGCCCGAAGGUACUGAGGACACAGUGAAGGAGGACGCGGCCAACCGCAAGCUGGCCAAGCUCUACAAGGUCUCCAACGGCGCAGGCACCAUGACAGUCUCCCUCGUGGCCGAUGAGAACCCCUUCGCCCAGGGGGCCUUGAAGUCAGAGGACUGCUUCAUCCUGGACCACGGCAAAGAUGGGAAGAUCUUUGUCUGGAAAGGUAAGCAGGCCAACACGGAGGAGAGGAAGGCUGCCCUCAAAACGGCCUCCGACUUCAUCUCCAAGAUGAACUAUCCCAAGCAGACCCAGGUCUCCGUCCUUCCCGAGGGCGGUGAGACCCCACUGUUCAAACAGUUCUUCAAGAACUGGCGGGACCCAGACCAGGUGGACGGCCCGGGCCUGAGCUAUCUCUCCAGCCACAUCGCCAACGUGGAGCGUGUGCCCUUCGACGCUGCCACUCUGCAUACCUCCACGGCCAUGGCUGCCCAGCACGGCAUGGAUGACGAUGGCACAGGCCAGAAACAGAUCUGGAGAAUCGAAGGCUCCAACAAAGUGCCUGUGGACCCUGCCACGUACGGACAGUUCUACGGUGGUGACAGCUACAUUAUCCUGUACAACUACCGUCAUGGUGGCCGUCAGGGACAGAUCAUCUACAACUGGCAGGGCGCCCAGUCCACCCAGGAUGAGGUCGCCGCGUCUGCCAUCCUGACUGCCCAGCUGGAUGAGGAGCUGGGAGGUACCCCAGUCCAGAGCCGUGUGGUCCAAGGCAAGGAACCCGCUCACCUCAUGAGCCUGUUUGGUGGGAAACCCAUGAUCAUCUACAGGGGUGGCACCUCCCGCGAGGGUGGACAGACAGCCCCCGCCAGUACCCGCCUCUUCCAGGUCCGGGCCAGCAGCUCUGGAGCCACCCGAGCCGUUGAGGUGAUCCCCAAGGCCGGCGCACUAAACUCCAACGAUGCCUUUGUCCUGAAAACCCCCUCGGCUGCCUACCUGUGGGUGGGGACAGGAGCCAGCGAGGCCGAGAAGACCGGGGCCCAGGAGCUGCUCCGCGUGCUUCGGGCCCAACCUGUGCAGGUGGCAGAAGGCAGCGAGCCAGACAGCUUCUGGGAGGCCCUGGGCGGGAAGGCCGCCUACCGCACGUCCCCACGGCUGAAGGACAAGAAGAUGGACGCCCACCCUCCCCGCCUCUUCGCCUGCUCCAACAAGAUUGGACGUUUUGUGAUCGAAGAGGUUCCUGGCGAGCUCAUGCAGGAGGACCUGGCCACUGAUGACGUCAUGCUCCUGGACACCUGGGACCAGGUCUUUGUCUGGGUUGGGAAGGAUUCCCAAGAGGAGGAAAAGACAGAAGCCUUGACCUCUGCUAAGCGGUACAUCGAGACGGACCCAGCUAAUCGCGACAGGAGAACCCCCAUCAAUGUGGUGAAGCAAGGCUUUGAGCCUCCUUCCUUUGUGGGCUGGUUCCUCAGCUGGGAUGACAACUACUGGUCGGUGGAUCCCUUGGACAGGGCCAUCGCUGAGCUGGCUGCCUGAAGAAGGGCAGGCCCCACCCAUCACCGGUCAGUGCCUUUCAGAACUGUCCAUCCCUCAAGGAGACCUUAGAGCGUGCAGGGCCACUCUGGUGUGUGCGUGUGUGGUUUUGUUGUUGGUUUUUUGUUGUUGUUGUUGUUGUUGUUUUUAUAGUAGCCAAAUACAGCCCUGAGAAAAUACAGGGUCCUUGCAAAAUUGUCUCCAGUAUCUGUGCUUUGGGAAAUUGAAUUCAAUAAAAGCUUUUUGAAGUGA